rnacentral:tRNA from 1 species
UGGGGCGUAGCGCAGCAUGGUCAGCGCACUUGGUUCGGGACCAAGGAGUCGCCGGUUCAAAUCCGGUCGCCCCCU